ACCGUCAGAAGUAACUUUCAAUUCAGUUCGAUAACUAUUUCGACCAACCAUGAUGCAUAAAGUGUUUGCAGUUUUUUUCGUAUUGUGUGCCGUUCAAAAUGCGUUGGGAGGGGGAGGAGACGAAGUGAAAUGCGAUGGAGGACCUGUACAAUGUUGUAAUAAAUAUGGGACAAAAGAAGAGCUGAAACCUUCUCAAUUCUUGUUGGCUUUACUUGGAAUAAAUUUGCAAAGCAUCGUUGGCAACAUUGGAAUGGAAUGCUCACCGAUCGUAGCGGGGAUUGUUGGUGGUGGAGUAGGCGGGCAAAGUUGUACUCAACAAACUGUGUGCUGUGAAAAUAACAACUUUAGUGGAUUAAUUGCCCUCGGUUGUAUACCUAUUAACAUCAAUGGUUAAGGCUUGAUUUCCACUUAAAAAUUUUCGUCGUAAAAGCUUCGUGAAGAAUUUUUAUUGGUUAAAAAACGAAAGAGACGAAUUUCAACCAAUAGCAAUCCUUCACGGUGUUCUAUUACGGCGAACACUUUUAAGUGGAAACUAGACUUAAAUGCCGUCCAUUCUGAAGUGGAUGUCAGAGAUAUGAUAAAAUGCAGCAGCCGUUUUUCCUCUGACUGAUGUUUAUUUCUCGUAAAAUUAUGAAUGCGACGAAAAUAAAAUAAAUUUCAAG